rnacentral:rRNA from 1 species
AGAACGAACGCUGGCGGCAGGCCUCAAACAUGCAAGUCUAGGGGGUGUAGCAAUACAUCACCGGCGGACGGGUGCGUAACGCGUGGGAAUGUACCUAUUGGUUCGGAACAACUGAGGGAAACUUCAGCUAAUACCGGAUGAGCCCGAAAGGGGAAAGAUUUCUCGCCAAUAGAUCAGCCCGCGUCCGAUUAGCUAGUUGGUGGGGUUAAAGCCUACCAAGGCGACGAUCGGUAGCUGUUCUGAGAGGAAGAUCAGCCACACUGGGACUGAGACACGGCCCAGACUCCUACGGGAGGCAGCAGUUGGGAAUCUUGGACAAUGGGGGAAACCCUGAUCCAGCCAUGCCGCGUGAGUGAUGAAGGCCUUCGGGUUGUAAACUCUUUCGACGGGGACGAUAUGACGGUACCCGUAGAAGAAGCUCCGGCUAACUUCGUGCCAGCAGCCGC